rnacentral:rRNA from 1 species
GACGAACGCUGGUGGCGUGCCUAACACAUGCAAGUCAAAGGAAAGCAACUUCGGUUGUAAGUACUUGGCGCAAGGGUGAGUAAUGUAUAGGUAAUCUGCCCUUAGGACUGGCAUAACCUCGAGAAAUCGAGGACAAUACCAGAUGAUGCAGCGGGACCGCAUGGUCAUGUUGUUAAAGAUUUAUCGCCUAAGGAUGAACCUAUAUCCCAUCAGGUAGUUGGCAGGAUAAUAGCCUACCAAGCCUACGACGGGUAGCUGGUCUGAGAGGAUGAUCAGCCACAUUGGAACUGAGACACGGUCCAGACUCCUACGGGAGGCAGCAGUGAGGAAUAUUGCGCAAUGGGCGAAAGCCUGACGCAGCAACGCCGCGUGGAUGAUGAAGUUCUUCGGAAUGUAAAGUCCUUUUGUAGAGGAAGAACAUGUCGGUUUACCGGCACUGACGGUACUCUGCGAAUAAGCCACGGCUAACUCUGU